CUUGAUGUUGUGACCAAAUUUUCGAAGAUAGGGAGUGUUUUUUUCUUCAGAUGAAGUGCAUGCUGUCGGCAUCAGUUGAAAUUAUAUCCUAUUGAGCGUGACUUAUAAUUUCGGUUUGGAAAAAUGAGCCAAAAUUGAAAGAAACGACAGUUAGCCACUUUGCGUUAAGACAUUAUAGGUGGAUUGAGGUGUACACGUGCAGUGAGCACGGAAGUCUAUUACUGGGCAGGAUCUCUUGAUGGCCUGCCACUACACUUCAUAAUACGGAGAAGGCAGCUAGUGGUGCGCCACAGUGAGCAAUUACAGGGUCAUGAGUACCUGGAUGUAGGAGAAGGAGAAGAAGAGGAG